rnacentral:tRNA from 1 species
AAGAUAUUAGUAAAACGCAUAUUACACCACCUUGUCAAGGCGGAACUGCAGGUUUAACUCCUGCAUAUCUUA